rnacentral:rRNA from 1 species
UACGUAGGGGGCAAGCGUUGUCCGGAAUCAUUGGGCGUAAAGAGCGCGUAGGCGGCCCUGUAAGUCCGCUGUGAAAGUCAAGGGCUCAACCCUUGAAUGCCGGUGGAUACUGCAGGGCUAGAGUCCGGAAGAGGCGAGUGGAAUUCCUGGUGUAGCGGUGAAAUGCGCAGAUAUCAGGAGGAACACCCGUAGCGAAGGCGGCACUCUGGGCCGAUACUGACGCUGAGGAGCGAAAGCGUGGGGAGCGAACAGG